UACGGAGGGGGCCAGCGUUGUUCGGAAUUAUUGGGCGUAAAGGGCUCGUAGGCGGCCAUUCAAGUCGGACGUGAAAUCCCUCGGCUCAACCGGGGAACUGCGUCCGAUACUGUCUGGCUCGAGUCCUGGAGAGGGUAGUGGAAUUCCCAGUGUAGCGGUGAAAUGCGUAGAUACUGGGAGGAACACCGGUGGCGAAGGCGGCUACCUGGACAGGUACUGACGCUGAGGAGCGAAAGCGUGGGGAGCGAACAGG
rnacentral:rRNA from 1 species